rnacentral:rRNA from 1 species
CCUUCGGGUGGCAGCAGUGAGGAAUAUUGGACAAUGGACGAGAGUCUGAACCAGCCAAGUAGCGUGAAGGAUGACUGCCCUCUGGGUUGUAAAUUUCUUUUAUCUGGGAAUAAAACGUUCCACGAGUGGGCUUUUGUAUGUACCAUAUGAAUAAGGAUCGGCGAACUCCGUGCCAGCAGCCGCGGUAAUACGGAGGAUCCGAGCGUUAGCCGGAUUUAUUGGGUUUAAAGGGAGCGUAGGUGGAUUGUUAAGUCAGUUGUGAAAGUUUGCGGCUCAACCGUAAAAUUGCAGUUGAAACUGGUAGUCUAGAGUACAGUAGAGGUGGGCGGAAUUCGUGGUGUAGCGGUGAAAUGCUUAGAUAUCACGAAGAACUCCGAUGGCGAAGGCAGCUCACUGGAC